rnacentral:rRNA from 1 species
AUUGAACGCUGGCGGCAGGCCUAACACAUGCAAGUCGAGCGGAUGAAGGGAGCUUGCUCCUGGAUUCAGCGGCGGACGGGUGAGUAAUGCCUAGGAAUCUGCCUGGUAGUGGGGGCUAACGUCCGGAAACGGGCGCUAAUACCGCAUACGUCCUGAGGGUGAAAGGGGGGGAUCUUCGGACCUCACGCUAUCAGAUGAGCCUAGGUCGGAUUAGCUAGUUGGUGGGGUAAAGGCCUACCAAGGCGACGAUCCGUAACUGGUCUGAGUGGAUGAUCAGUCACACUGGAACUGAGACACGGUCCAGACUCCUACGGGAGGCAGCAGUGGGGAAUAUUGGACAAAGGGCGAAAGCCUGAUCCAGCCAUGCCGCGUGUGUGAAGAAGGUCUUCGGAUUGUAAAGCACUUUAAGUUGGGAGGAAGGGCAGUAAGUUAAUACCUUGCUGUUUUGACGUUACCAACAGAAUAAGCACCGGCUAACUUCGUG